GAACGCUGGCGGCGUGCCUAAUACAUGCAAGUUGAACGCAACAAAGACACCAGAGCUUGCUCUACCGUCUUUGUUGAGUAGCGAACGGGUGAGUAACGCGUGGGUAACCUGCCUUAUAGCGGGGGAUAACUAUUGGAAACGAUAGCUAAUACCGCAUAACAAUAGAGAUUGCAUAAUCUUUAUUUGAAAGUGCCAACUGGUACACUAUGAGAUGGACCCGCGUUGUAUUAGCUAGUUGGUAGUGUAAUGGACUACCAAGGCGAUGAUACAUAGCCGACCUGAGAGGGUGAUCGGCCACAUUGGGACUGAGACACGGCCCAAACUCCUACGGGAGGCAGCAGUAGGGAAUCUUCGGCAAUGGACGAAAGUCUGACCGAGCAACGCCGCGUGAGUGAAGAAGGUUUUCGGAUCGUAAAACUCUGUUGUUAGAGAAGAAUGUUGAUUAGAGUGGAAAAUUAAUCAAGUGACGGUAUCUAACCAGAAAGGGACGGCUAACUACGUG
rnacentral:rRNA from 1 species